rnacentral:rRNA from 1 species
CAGUCGCCGCGGGAAUACAGAGGAUGCAAGCGUUAUCCGGAAUGAUUGGGCGUAAAGCGCACGUAGGCGGCUAUUCAAGUCAGAGGUGAAAGCCCGGGGCUCAACCCCGGAAUUGCCUUUGAAACUAGAUAGCUUGAACACGGGAGAGGUGAGUGGAAUUCCGAGUGUAGAGGUGAAAUUCGUAGAUAUUCGCAGGAACACCAGUGGCGAAGGCGGCUCACUGGUCCGGAACUGACGCUGAGGCACGACAGCGUGGGGAGCAAACAGGAUUAGAUACCCCCGUAGUCCCUGUCUCUUAUAC